rfam:Chitinimonas taiwanensis DSM 18899 genome assembly, contig: Ga0002118_scaffold00012.12
GAAGUUGGCCGGACAGUCGCCGCCCGCGCAAGCGGGGGGAGGAAAGUCCGGGCUUCAUAGGGCAGGAUGCUGGCUAACGGCCAGGCGCCGCGAGGCGACGGAAAGUGGAACAGAGAGCUGAACCGCCGAUGGCUGGACUUGGCGGCCCGCAAGGGACGCAAAGUCUUUAUCAAAUGGGGUAACCCGUUUGGUGCAUCAAAUGGGGCAACCCAUUUGACAGCACAGGUAAGGGUGAAAAGGUGGCUGCGCAAGCAGCCGUUUGGUGCAAACCAAACGCGGUAAGAGCGCACCGCUUGGCUGGUGACAGUCCAAGGCAGGCUAAACCCCAUCCGAAGCAAGACCAAAUAGGCAAGCGUUGACGGGGCCCCCUGAGCUUGCGGGUAGGUUGCUUGAGGCGGCCAGUAAUGGCCGUCCUAGAGGAAUGACUGUCGGUGGCGGGUAACCGCCAUGUCACAGGACCCGGCUUAUAGGCCGACUUCGCCU